rnacentral:misc_RNA from 1 species
AAAUCAGAAACCUAAAAUCAAAACUAUAAGGACAUCCAAUCUCAGACUCAGAAGCAAUGAACAAUAGCUUCAGAGAGAACACUGGCACAAUCACAGCUUGUGGUUGAGGAAGACAAGGUGAGGCUGGAGCGUUUAAGUUAAAGUGGUGCGUGUUAAAGGGAAUGGAGUUCUGAAGCUUUAAUAUAUGGGACUCUCAUUGGAUGGUUGGG